AACGAACGCUGGCGGCAUGCCUAACACAUGCAAGUCGAACGAGACCUUCGGGUCUAGUGGCGCACGGGUGCGUAACGCGUGGGAACCUGCCCUUAGGUUCGGAAUAACUCCCCGAAAGGGGUGCUAAUACCGGAUAAUGUCUUCGGGCCAAAGUUUUAUCGCCUUUGGAUGGGCCCGCGUUGGAUUAGCUAGUUGGUAGGGUAAAAGCCUACCAAGGCGACGAUCCAUAGCUGGUCUGAGAGGAUGAUCAGCCACACUGGGACUGAGACACGGCCCAGACUCCUACGGGAGGCAGCAGUGGGGAAUAUUGGACAAUGGGCGAAAGCCUGAUCCAGCAAUGCCGCGUGAGUGAUGAAGGCCUUAGGGUUGUAAAGCUCUUUUACCCGGGAUGAUAAUGACAGUACCGGGAGAAUAAGCUCCGGCUAACUCCGUG
rnacentral:rRNA from 1 species